GGGGGUGAACGGUUUCGACUUUGUUCGUUGAUUCAGGGGAAGCGUGCCGGUGCAGGCGAGAGACCACCGCAAGCGUCAUCGCAAACCUAUAAGCGCCAAGUCUAACGACCAGCGCGCGUUCGCCCUCGCCGCCUGAGGCUAGGGAAGACGCUGUCGGCCCGGAAGCGCCUCCGUUCCGGAUCCCGGCAUCAGCAAGGAGGCUCACCUCCGGUUCCGGGCACGGGAACCGGUUGGGAAUCCCACAGUGUCUGGGCCUGUCAGACCGAACUUGUCGACGUGAUCGGUCGGGCCGAGUAGAGACGUAGUCGACUGCGCACGGAGAAGCCCUGAUGAGCCGGCAGAGGACCCGGGUUCGAUUCCCGGCACCUCCACCA
rnacentral:tmRNA from 1 species